GAUGAAGAACGUAGCGAAAUGCGAUACUUGGUGUGAAUUGCAGAAUCCCGUGAACCAUCGAGUCUUUGAACGCAAGUUGCGCCUCAAGCCAUUAGGUUGAGGGCACGUCUGCCUGGGCGUCACAUAUCGUUGCCUGAUGCCAGUUUCCUCGUGAUGGGUGACUGUGCAGGGCGAAUGAUGGCUUCCCGUGAGCAUUGUUGCCUCAUGGUUGGUUGAUAAUUGAGUCCUUGGUAGGGAGCGCCGUGAUAGAUGGUGGUUGAGUGACGAACGAGACCCAAUCAUGUGAGACCCCUACCGAAUUUGGCCUUCAUGACCCACAUGCGUCUUUGGAACGCUCAUGACGAGACCUCAGGUCAGGCGGGGCUACCCGCUGAGUUUAAGCAUAUCAAUAAGCGGAGGA
rnacentral:misc_RNA from 1 species